rnacentral:rRNA from 1 species
AUUGGCCUACGGGAGGCAGCAGUGGGGAAUAUUGCACAAUGGGGGAAACCCUGAUGCAGCGACGCGGCGUGAGUGAUGAAGUAUUUCGGUAUGUAAAGCUCUAUCAGCAGGGAAGAUAAUGACGGUACCUGACUAAGAAGCUCCGGCUAAAUACGUGCCAGCAGCCGCGGUAAUACGUAUGGAGCAAGCGUUAUCCGGAUUUACUGGGUGUAAAGGGAGCGCAGACGGCAGGGCAAGUCUGAUGUGAAAGUACGGGGCUCAACACCGGGACUGCAUUGGAAACUGUGCGGCUAGAGUGCAGGAGG